rnacentral:misc_RNA from 1 species
GAUGAAGAACGCAGCGAAAUGCGAUAAGUAAUGUGAAUUGCAGAAUUCAGUGAAUCAUCGAAUCUUUGAACGCACAUUGCGCCCGUCAGUAUUCUGGCGGGCAUGCCUGUUCGAGCGUCAUUACGCCCCUCAAGUCCCCUGUGGACUUGGUGUUGGGGAUCGGCGAGGCUGGUUUUCCAGCACAGCCGUCCCUUAAAUUAAUUGGCGGUCUCGCCGUGGCCCUCCUCUGCGCAGUAGUAAAACACUCGCAACAGGAGCCCGGCGCGGUCCACUGCCGUAAAACCCCCCAACUUUUUAUAGUUGACCUCGAAUCAGGUAGGACUACCCGCUGAACUUAAGCAUAUCAAUAAGCGGAGG